rnacentral:rRNA from 1 species
CGCGUGCACUGGUCCGGCCGGGCCUUUCCUUCUGUGGAACCCCAUGCCCUUCACUGGGUGUGGCGGGGAAACAGGACUUUUACUUUGAAAAAAUUAGAGUGCUCCAGGCAGGCCUAUGCUCGAAUACAUUAGCAUGGAAUAAUAAAAUAGGACGUGUGGUUCUAUUUUGUUGGUUUCUAGGACCGCCGUAAUGAUUAAUAGGGACAGUCGGGGGCAUCAGUAUUCAGUUGUCAGAGGUGAAAUUCUUAGAUCUACUGAAGACUAACUACUGCGAAAGCAUUUGCCAAGGAUGUUUUCAUUAAUCAGGAACGAAAGUUAGGGGAUCGAAGACGAUCAGAUACCGUCGUAGUCUUAACCAUAAACUAUGCCGACUAGGGAUCGGACGAUGUUAUUUUUUGACUCGUCCGGCACCUUACGAGAAAUCAAAGUGCUUGGGCUCCAGGGGGAGUAUGGUCGCAAGGCUGAAACUUAAAGAAAUUGACGGAAGGGCACCACCAGGGGUGGAGUCUGCGGCUUAAUUUGACUCAACACGGGGAAACUCACCAGGUCCAGACACAAUAAGGAUUGACAGAUUGAGAGCUCUUUCUUGAUUUUGUGGGUGGUGGUGCAUGGCCGUUCUUAGUUGGUGGAGUGAUUUGUCUGCUUAAUUGCGAUAACGAACGAGACCUUAACCUGCUAACUAGCCCGUAUUGCUCAGGCAGUACGCCGGCUUCUUAGAGGGACUAUCGG